rnacentral:lncRNA from 1 species
GUCCAGGUCUGGAGCCCCCAGUACAAAAAAGACAGGGAGCUGUUGGAGAGGGUCCAGAGGAGCCACAAGAUGAUCAGGGGGCUGCAGCACCUCCACUACAAAGACAGGCUGAGGGAGCUGGGCUUGUUCAGCAUGGAGAAGAGAAGGCUGCGGGGUGACCUCAUUGCAGCCUUCAGUACCUAAAGGGAGCCUACAAACAGGAGGGGAGUCAACUCUUUGAAAGGGUGAGUGACAGCAGGACAAGGGGAAAUGGUUUUAAGCUGAGGGAAGGGAGGUUGAGGUUGGACGUCAGGGGGAAAUUCUUUACAGAGAGAGUGGUGAGGUGCUGGAACAGCUGCCCAGGGAGGUUGUGGAUGCCCCGUCCCUGGAGGUGUUCAAGCCCAGAUUGGAUGGGGCCCUGGGCAGUCUGAUCUAGUAUUAGGUCGGAUGGCUGGUGGCCCUGCGUGUGGCAGGGGGGUUGGAGAUUCAUGAUCCUUGAGGUCUCUUUCAACCCUGGCAAUUCUGUGAUUCUGUGAUUCAUGCAUCAUGCUUUAUUUGCAGCAACUCGAAUUCAUUGUCAGUUUGGAAAGUGAAACUGGACAAAUGCACAGAAAGGGGGAAGUCCCUGCCCACCAGGCAGCUGUUAGAAGUGGGGUGGGUGACCUGGAGAAUGGCAGCAGUUGAUCUCUUCCUUAGGUUUCCCUUUUGACUUCUGUCUGAAAUGGGAGAUGGCACUACAUGAGCUGCUGCUCCGAAACAGUGCGUUCUUUCCUGUACUCCUUAUGUUUCCAAAUUGUGCAGCAGGAACUCCUCUGGAUUCUGACCCAGCACAGCAGUACAUUUCCCAGCAAGGCUUGAAUGUCUGCAAGAGAGCUGGAGGGUUUGUGUGCA